UGGCAAUGAAGACAAUGUUUCCAUUUAAUGACAAAAGGGUGAUUGUUCUAUACGCUAUUCUGAGCUUCAU
ensembl:snoRNA SNORD54 small nucleolar RNA, C/D box 54